rnacentral:rRNA from 1 species
AAAUUACCCAAUCCUAAUACAGGGAGGUAGUGACAAGAAAUAACAAUACAGGACUUUUUGGUUUUGUAAUUGGAAUGAGUUAAGUAUAAACCCCUUUACAAGUAUCAAUUGGAGGGCAAGUCUGGUGCCAGCAGCCGCGGUAAUUCCAGCUCCAAUAGCGUAUAUUAAAGUUGUUGCAGUUAAAAAGCUCGUAGUUGGAUUUCUGUUAAUAAUUUAUAUAAAAUAUUUUGAUGAAUAUUUAUAUAAUAUUAACAUAAUUCAUAUUACUAUAUAUUUUAGUAUAUGAAAUUUUACUUUGAGAAAAUUAGAGUGCUUAAAGCAGGCAUAUGCCUUGAAUCCUCCAGCAUGGAAUAAUAUUAAAGAUUUUUAUCUUUCUUAUUGGUUCUAAGAUAAGAAUAAUGAUUAAUAGGG